AUUGAACGCUGGCGGCAGGCCUAACACAUGCAAGUCGAACGGUAACAGGAAGCAGCUUGCUGCUUUGCUGACGAGUGGCGGACGGGUGAGUAAUGUCUGGGAAACUGCCUGAUGGAGGGGGAUAACUACUGGAAACGGUAGCUAAUACCGCAUAACGUCGCAAGACCAAAGAGGGGGACCUUCGGGCCUCUUGCCAUCGGAUGUGCCCAGAUGGGAUUAGCUAGUAGGUGGGGUAACGGCUCACCUAGGCGACGAUCCCUAGCUGGUCUGAGAGGAUGACCAGCCACACUGGAACUGAGACACGGUCCAGACUCCUACGGGAGGCAGCAGUGGGGAAUAUUGCACAAUGGGCGCAAGCCUGAUGCAGCCAUGCCGCGUGUAUGAAGAAGGCCUUCGGGUUGUAAAGUACCUUCAGCGGGGAGGAAGGGAGUAAAGUUAAUACCUUUGCUCAUUGACGUUACCCGCAGAAGAAGCACCGGCUAACUCCGUG
rnacentral:rRNA from 1 species